ensembl:lncRNA
UUUCUACUCCAAGACCAGUGACAUCCCAGACAGAGGCCACUCCAUUGGCCUGGAUCCCAACAAGAGGAUGACAUGGAACAGAGCCACAACCUGACCAUGAUUUACAUGUAACAUGAGUGAGAAAUAAACUGAUGUUGUGAGCCAUGGAUAUUUAGGAGAUAUUUGUUACUGCAGCAUAAUCCAGUCUCUCCUGACUGUUGUGGAGGACUAACAAAUUGCCCAAUGACCCCAAUCUGUGAUAUCAACAAGAUUAAAGGAUAAAAUUCCCAUGGGUUCCUCCAGAGAGGCUUAUAAAUAAGACAUGGCUCCAAUCUUUUCCAUCAUAACAACAAUCACAGCAUCAGCACACACCAAGGAGGAUAAUUGGGGUGGAGUGGGUAGAUGGUCUGUACCCAGUAUUUUACUGUUAAGGGCAAAUUUGCAGAGAUUUGGAAAAUUGGGUGCUGUGUAAACAUAUAGAACAAGUUUUCAGCUACAACACAGCUGAGCUCAAGGGAAUGGGGUUUGAUAGUUAGUGUCAGCAUAAUGAAUUUUUUUUUAAAGGCUCCAGAAUGUCUGCGAAACACUGUCAAGUUAAAAAUUGUGCCUGUGGGUUUUUUUUUAAAGCAAUUUCCCUAGCCACUCUGGCUAAUAAUAUCUCAUUUUGUUAACUCUGAAAGAAAGUCUUUUAAAAAAUACUGUAACAUGUCAUUUCCCAGCUUAAACCCUUUCAAUGACUUUGCAUGGCCUUGACAAUCAGGUUGAAACUCCUCAAAUGACCUCCAAGUCCCUUCUUAACUGGGCCUUGCUGACCUGUCCAGCUCCAUACCUGGACACUCUCCUCUCACAGGCUAUGGUUCCACCACUCACAGGACUAAAAGCUAUGCUCACUCUGCCUCUGAGCCUUUGCACUUGCUGUUCCCUGUCUGGAACAUUCUCCCGACCAUUAUGGAAAAACGUAGUUCAUGUGUAAGGCUCCAGCAAAGCAGAUGCUCCAAAUGUUUGAAAUAAUUUAAAUGUUUAUCCUUCUCUGAAAAAAAUAAAACAAAACAAAACAUGGACUACAAGAUUUUUAGAGCCCCCUGGUACUUAUUUUGCUGUUUAGUAUUAUUUUCCUUUUUUAGGGCAGCACUAGAGGCCUAUGGAAGCUCCCAGGCUAGGGGUUGAAUCGGAACUGCUGGUCUAUAACACAGCCACGACAAUGUGGGAUCUGAGCUGUGUCUGCAACCUACACCACAGUUUGUGGCAACGCCAGAUCCUUAGCCGACUGAGCAAGGCCAGGGAUCGAACCUGCAUCCUCAUGGAUACUAGUCAGGUUCUUAACCCACUGAGCCACAAUGGAAACCCCUAUUCAGUAUUUUGUAAUAACCUAUAAUGGAAAAGAAUCUGAAAAAAGAUAUAUGUGUGCGUGUGUGUGUGUGUGUGUGUGUGUGUGUAACUGAAUCAUUUUGCUGUAUACCUGGAACAUGGUAGAUCAACCACACUUCAAUAAAACAAUAACAAUUAAAAUAACUUAUAAAGCCAAACUUAAAUGAUGUCCAAACUUCCCAUUAUAUAUAGGUUCUUCCCAACUUCUUACAAAGAUAAAGAGCACUGCCCUUAAUAGCCUCACAGCUAAAUCUUUGUAUACAUACUUUGAUUAUUUUCUAGCAGUAAAUUCCUAGAAAUAGAAUUGCUUGGCCCAAAUAAAAGGCCUUGCAGGCUUUUGAUACUCUCUUAACCAGGCAUAUUUGGUUGUCAGAAAUAGACACAAACUUGAACUAGCUCAAGUUAAAGGUGGUUUAUUAAAAGGAUAUGGGCCUCAGGCAGGGUGAGAGCAGAACAACUUGAGGUUUCUCAGCAGCCACAGUGCAUGGCCUUUCAGUCUUGUGCUCUCACUGAUAUGACUCCAUCAUCAACUCAAUCAAUCUUUGUUUCCACUUCAUCCAAAUUCUUAAAAAAGAGGGAAUCAGCUUGGUGUAGCCUCAGCCUAUGGAACUGGUUCUUCUGGGUCAGGGAGCUUCAUGAUCCAGAAAGGGCCUGUCUGGAGCCAGGUAGGAACAGGAAGCUCAUCUGGGACUGAUACCCUUCUAUCACAUGAAACGGAUCUUAAUAAUUGUUUGAGAUAGAAAUGUGUCAGUAGAGGAAAAAAUAGCUUCCUUUCCCUUUGUAUAUGGAUGACCAUUCUCAGAACAUACAUAAAUCAGAAUACUUUUGGUUGUGACAGCACCCGUUCAAAUAGACAUAAGCAUGAUAAUUUGGAAGAGGGUUUGGAUGAAUCAUUAGUACCAAGGUGUUAAUAGUUUCAUGUGAUCAGAAGUUUAGGGCUAGAUCUGCCAUCAAACACAGUUGGAUCCAAGAGGUCUACCAUGUCAACAGUUAGACUCUCUUUCACCUUCUCUCUGCUUUCUUCCGGAAUGAAGUCAUUUGCAGGCCAACUCUCUCUAGGAUAAAGUAUGAUGGCCCCCUGCAGUUCUUGGUUUAUAUCCCCAGCAGGGCACCCCCUUCCCAUCAAUUCCAGUCAAAGUCAUGGAGUUUACAUCUAUUGGGCCAACAUAAUUGAACCAAGGCCAAGGUGCUGGGCAAGGAGAACCAACAAGUGUCACUACAGAAAUAUAGUAGGUUUUGGUUUUUCCUAGUAGACAAAUGGGAUGCUUUGUGAGCUUGUUGAAAGAAGCAGUGCUGCCCAAUAGAACUUUCUGUAAUGACGGAAAUAUUCUCUAUCUCUGUCAUCCGGUGGAGAAGCCCCUAGCCAAUGCUGCUACUGAGCACUUGAAAUGCAGCUAGUGGACUGAGCAAUUGAAUUUUUCAUUGUAAUUAAUUGAAAUUUAAAUAGCCCCACGAAGUUGGCAGGGCUGUAACUGGAUAACACAGAAUAAAAGCCUGUUAAAUUUUUCUGGUAGCACCGUAUAGAAAAGCGAGGUCUUCAGUGCAUUGUGACUUCAGAAAAAGAAACUCUCUUGCCCUCAUCUGCUGGCCAGUGAACUUCCUGAGUCUCAGGGAGUUUUUCCACGAGAAUGAUGGGAGGUCUGCACGGCAUGCAUGGGGCCAGCAGUGAACUUGGCGCUUAUAAUGAAAUAACUGAAACAUCAUUGUGACUGUAGAAUCAAGGGUCUUCCCUCCUUAUCUCCAAAGCGCCCAUGUUUUACAUGAAAAAGCGUUUCUAAUUAAUAGGCCAGCCCCUCUUGAGUUUGAUAAAAACAGAGGAGAAAAGGAUUUGAUUAACCCACAAUCUUUUCAAUUUGGCGUGUUCUGCAUGAGUGAAGUGUGUUUUCUGCAACAGAGCCAAGCCGGGCCCGUCCUGGUUUACCGUGAUAACAUUCUUCCCUUUGUGCAGCCCCAACUCACCCCCAGCCUGCGAGGAGAGGGUGGGGUGAAGAGAUUCUUGGAGGUAAUCGCCAGCACAGCCUGAGAGGGUAAUCUGGAUUCUCAUACAGACGCUGGGCCACCCGAAGAAGGAAAAGAUGACAAAGGCUUCCAUUGUCCCCAAGCGAGAGAGUUCAUUCUGUCUCGAGACCAAGGACAGGAGGUCUGGGCUGAGCGGUGAUGGGAAGGACCGCGUAGAAGGGUGGGUGGGACACCCAAAGUCAAAAGCUCAGGGACGGGGAUGGGGCAAGGAGGGGGAGAGUCCGCUGUAGAGGUGUCCAGCGCCAUGUGCCAUGUGACCCGGUAUCGGUUGGUUCUCCCAGCUCUGGCUUGUACCAGAGGACGCCCUUGAUGCCUUGGGGGGAAAGCAGGUCACAGAGCAGUGUGUGCUCUGAGUGAGGACCUGACUUCAUUUUUCCCUUGGUCAAUGUGGAGAUGAGAAACUUCUUUCUCCUUCUCCUUGCUGAGGACGAGACAACAGGCUAGGUGGCAGAUAACGUCCCUCUAGCUGGGUGUGUUGGCUUUAAAACAGGACUGCAAAUUCUCAGACGGCUCUCACAUUGAGGUGGGGGCUCUCUCUGUCCUAUUCCCUUAAAUCUGGAUGGGCUGGUGAUGACUUGGCCCCUGCAGCCUAGAGGAAGUAAUGCCCUGUGACUUCCAAGGCUGGACAUAAAAGGCCACCACCUGAUUCACGGAACCCUCAUGCUUGCAGGCUCAAGCUAGCAUGUGAAGAAGUUACCCUGUUUGUUGUAGUUUGUUAUGGUGGCCCUAAGAAACCAAUACUUCUUCAGUCUUAUUUUGUUGUUGUCAGAAGUUUUUUGGUCGUUCUUUUUUUUUUUUUUUUUGUCUUCUUGCCUUUUCUGGGGCCGCUUCCACAGCAUAUAGAGGUUCCCAGGCUAGGGCCCUAAAAAGCAAAAAAAAAAAAAAAAAAAGAAUAAAGACAUGAAACAAUGAAUAGUGUGAAUAGUAAUAUGUAUCCUAUCUGCUUGGUGCCAGGCAAUGUACCGGGUGCUUCAGAGAUAAUGGUGAAUAAAGCACAGUCCUGUCCUCAAGAAGUUCAUGGAAAGAAAGAAGAGUCAAAAUUAAGUAUAAUUUUGAGUAACAAAGAUAAGAGCAGAGGAAGGGAGCAAAGGAAAUAGAAGCUUCUCAAACUCAGUUCCAGCAGUAUUGUUGUUCACUUGAUAUUUUUCUUUAAACCUAUUCCUUCUAUUUUACUAAGGUAUUUCUGAAGUCACAGUGCCCCUACUAAUUUGGUCAGGCAUGCAAUGUAUCCAGCCAGAAAUGAGUUUUCAGACUCCCACAGAGCUAGGAGUGGUGGGGGAACUUAGUUCAGGCUAAUAAAAUAAAUGUAGGCAGAAGUCUAUUGGGUAGAGUUCCCAGAAAACUAUUUGCUUUCCUAAUUCAAAAAUUGAUUCUAAUAAUGAUGGCAGUGGUGGUGGUUAUGGUGAUGAUGGUAGAUAGACUCAGCUGGUACAGCCUUUUCCCUCCUGCCUUUCCCUUCUUCCUGUCUGGAAGGAGGAUGCAAUGCCUGGGGUAGAGCAAUCAUUUUGAGGCCAUGAGGAUAAAAGCCCCCAUGCCAAGGAAGAAAGCAGGAAGUUAGAAGGAGGCUGGAUCUUUCACAAUAUCCUUGGAUAGCUGCACCAGCAUUGGACUGCUGAUGUCCAAAAAUCUGGAUGAUUGAAAAAAUUUAACCCCUUAAUUAUUUAAACCACCGUUGGUUGAGUUUUCAGUUAUUUGAAUUCAAACACAUGCCCAAAGAAUACCUUUGAGUUUGAUGGACUCUUAUAUUUUCCCCCUAGUUCAAUUCAAGUAAAUAUGCAACUAUUCAAAUAAAACUGCUUUGGGGUACCAUCUGAAAUUGACUCGUAUAAACCAGAGGAAGGUGACAUUUUUAGAAAUUCUGAUUUAGUAGGGUCAUUAGUUUUAUUGAGCAUUUCAAAAUUUACUAGACUUUUUCCCCCAUGAUUCUUUUAUUUAAUCUGCACUUCAAUCCCAUGAGGUUGACGAGACAUAUUACUGUCCACUUGCUAUAAAUGAGGGGAUGCAUGGGGCCAAGAGGUGUUAGUGACUUGCCAAAGAUCUCAUAGCUGGUGAGUGGGGCAGCCAGAAGAAUCUCACAAUAUUAAUGUCACAAAUGUUGAUUAAGCAUGAGGUGCCAAGGACUGUGGAUACAAUGGAGAAUAAGAGGGAGAAACACAGUCUCUGCUCUCAUGGAAUAACAGGGAGGGCAAACCCUGAAACAAGGGAUGGCAACUGCAUAUGAAAAAAGGUAGAGAGGAAAUCUAGAGGUCUGAGAAAGCAUGAAAGAGCAUCUCUGUCUUAAUUUGGUUCCCCCAAAGCAGAUCACAUCUUAGAGUUGCCUCUCUUGGGUGAGAAGCUGGAGUAUUUAUUUACCUCCUCUCCCUUGUUGGCUGGGAAUAGCUCCUAGGUGCAUCAACUCCCCAGAUAUGGGACAAAGCCCCCAGGCAGGCAUUUGGAAGAAACUCAUCUUAGACCAAACUGUUUACAGAUGACCCCAGUGUGGACUGAGGAGAUCCUGUACAGGCAAUGACUGUCAGGUACCUGAUCUAGUGAAGGAAGCGAAGCAAAAUGGAACCUCUCUUUUGCUACAUAAUGCUGUAAUUGGAUAUGAGACAGUCUGUAAGACAGGAAAACGCCUAAAUAUCUUGACAUCUGACCUGCUGGCUCAUUCACAAGGCUGGCCCCAGGCUGACCCAAAAUCCCAUAGUGAGGCCUGGGGUUGAAGCAAGAUCAAAAAACACUCCCUUCCAGAAAUCUUCGCAGGAACCCAGCCUCCCAUGAAGGACCAGGGAACCAGCAGCCGGUUUCCAACUUCUCCUGGGCUUCCUGCGGUGUGUGCUUCUGUCCUCGCUGACACGCCGAAUGUUCUCCCCCAAAUUAUUUCUGAGUUCUCCUGGCAGCAGCUCUGCCUCCCCCGCCUCCCCUCCCCACUCCCUUUGGCAGAUCUGUGUUAUAAAAUAAGAGGCUCGGGAUUAUGUCUGUCUGACAACUGAAGAAUGAGCAACGGAGCAGAUGCAAAGUCUUACAAAUCCCGUGAAUUAUACAUGGCCAUCUGCAGCCUCGAGCCGUCCAGGAUUUCCACCCCACACCACGGCGUUCCAUAUGGAGUCAUAUGUUUUUAGUACCGGAGCCAUGCUGUCAACGUCCAGCAAUCCGUCAUGUGGCACAUGUGUGAUGCAAGCGCCCAAAUAAAUGCUAUCAGGCCCAGGAGUGCUGAGCAGAGGAGCGCGGUGGCCCCCACUGCCUUGUCUUCUCAAGAGGGCGGUUGCUUGUAUAGUUUUUCAAAAUUUUAACAAAGCACUAAACAAAUGCUAAAUCACUUUUCUAUCACCAGAAAAGCAAACCUCCUAUCUUCCACCUCCAAAAUGGAGGAAGAAAGCCCUGAUUUUAAAAUAAAAUGUCAAAAGUCACUAGGUUUGAGUUUCACACUGGUAGAUUUCAACAGGUCUUUUGGGACGGGGUCCUGGCUCCCACCACCUUCUUUAGGAGACCUGAGCUCCUCCCCAGUAGCAGGUCUGGGGUCACGUGACUUCACCCCAGCCAGAGCUGAUUGGCCCAGGGUGGGGCUCCUUGGAGUGGCCAGGCCAAUCAUAUUCUCUCAUAUGAUGAUCUCUUUGCCAAUCCCCUGUUGUCAGUUUCUUUCCAUCCUGAGCUACACUUUUGUCCCCAGUCUAAACUCCCCUUUUUGCCCAAGGGCUAUUUUUUUGGCUGAAGGUUUGUGGUGAGAGAGAAGGAAGCUGUUCAAAAUCUCUGGGUCAGUUCUCAUCAUGGCUCAGUGGUUAAGGAACUGGACUAGCAACCAUGAGGAUGUGGGUUCAACCCCCCGCCUCGCUCAGUGGGUUAAGGAACCUCCAUUGCUAUGGCUGUGGUGUAGCAUGGUGGUUACAGCUCUGAUUCAACCUCUAGCCUGGGAACCUCCAUAUGCCAUGGGUGGAGCCCUAAAGAGACAAAAAAAAAAAAAAAAGUCUCUGGGUCAGUCAGCCAAGGAUUGUGUGUCUGGACAGAAUCUCCUUGCCUCCAGGUGGUAGAGGGAAGGGCCAGAGAAGAUAGUGGCUAAUGCUCUCAGGGCACCAGGAAGGGGACUGAAGGGAAGAUGCCUUUACUGGGCCUGGGUAACCUUGCCUUAGAAACACCACAGGUGUCGAAGGAAUUGAGAACGCAAGCCAGCUCUUUGUUGUCAACAGUUACAGGAACAUCUGGGCCUUGUGCUGUUUUGCAAAUACUAACUUUACGUCCACAGGGGAUGCCUCCCUGACAUCUUUUUGCCCUCCUCUGGUAACAGCACCCUGAUUUUCCUUUGGGAGGACAUCCCUCUCCCACUUGGUGCAUGUGGUUUUGUUGGACAGAUGAUCUCCUCAUCUUGACCCAGGCCCAGCCCAUGAGAGUUACAGUAAUGGUUUCAGAAAGGAGAUUGUGGUCUAGUCUGGGCCAAUGAGACUUGGCUGGGACUUGGCUUGAGAAUUCUGCUGGAAUUAAUAGGAGAGAAGUGCUCUCUUUCUGCAGGAAUCACUGAGCUGGUAAACUGUAAGCCUAGAACUGCUAGUGGCCACUUUUGCCACUGCCAGAGGAGAGGAAAGUUAAUACAGGGGAAAGGAGGGAGAAGAGAUAGGAAGCAGGUGGAAAGAAGAAUGAAUGGUAGCAGAGAAAGAGAGACAAAGUUCAAAUGACAUAGUGUAAAGCCUGGAUCCACCUAUGCCUGAAAUCAUUCACACUAGGAUUUCUUAUUUAUACAAGAAAAUAGCCUGGGAACCUCCAUAUGCCAUGGGUAUGGCCCUAAAAACCAAAAAAAAAAAAAAAAAGAAAAAA